rnacentral:misc_RNA from 1 species
GAUGAAGAACGCAGCGAAGUGCGAUAAGUAAUGUGAAUUGCAGAAUUCCGUGAAUCAUCGAAUCUUUGAACGCAAAUUGCACUCUCUGGUAUCCCGGGGAGUAUGCCUGUUUGAGGGUCAGUGUUAAUAAAAAUCGGUGCGUUGCACUUUAUUGUGACGUUCUGGAGUUUGAGUUAUCUUAACUUUUAGGUUAAGAGGCUUAAAAUUGACCUUUUUUUGUGCAUUUUAGACGUACAUAAAUUUUCUUUUAUUUGUCUUUUAAUGCCAAAAUUAUAUUAGAUGCGACCAUAUCGUGUGGUUUCGUGUCUAUAAAUUUUUCAUGAUUUGACCUCAAAUCAGGUAGGAGUACCCGCUGAACUUAAGCAUAUCAAUAAGCGGAGGA